AGCAGCCGCGGUAAUUCCAGCUCCAAUAGCGUAUAUUAAAGUUGUUGCAGUUAAAAAGCUCGUAGUUGAAUUUCGGGAUCAGUACGCUGGUCGUGCCCUUGGUAUGUACUGGUGUUACUGGUUCCUACCUUCUGACGAACCGUCAUGUCAUUAAUUUGGUGUGGCGGGAAAUCAGGACUGUUACUUUGAAAAAUUAGAGUGUUUAAAGCAGGCUCGCGCUUGAAUACAUUAGCAUGGAAUAAUGAAAUAGGACGUUCGAUCCUAUUUUGUUGGUUUUCUAGGAUUGACGUAAUGAUUAAUAGGGAUAGUUGGGGGCAUUAGUAUUCAAUUGUCAGAGGUGAAAUUCUUGGAUUUAUUGAAGACUAACUACUGCGAAAGCAUUUGCCAAGGAUGUUUUCAUUAAUCAAGAACGAAAGUUAGGGGAUCGAAGACGAUCAGAUACCGUCGUAG
rnacentral:rRNA from 1 species